AGUGAGAAACUUGGAGGAGCUACUCCAGGAUCACUGAAACUACUCGCUUUUGUUAUUACUUAGUGUGAUUUUGCCAUAUUUCAAAAAUGUUUGAGACUUCCUCAGUCCUCUGUUAGCGUGGCCUACCAACCGCUCAAGCCUUGACCUCAGUCAAUGGAAACACUCUACUGAGCUAAAGCUAAUUAGCAGCAAGAUGCUCUUCUCAGAUGACUACCACAAACCUCUAUCAAAGAUUGCAGUGCUUGAAUAAAAAAUGCACCGGUUGGAAGUGAACAUGGACGUGAAUGGACUAUGUGGGAACGACACCACUUCACCAAUAUUCAAAGAGUGGACAGUGGACACACGGCUAAUGAGCAACAUCAUGACGGCCAUGGAACAGGAGGGCUGUGCACCAGCUCUCUGUCCUCACCUCCAAAGUACAGUCCGGUGGCUGUGCACAUCCUCCACUGGCCCUGGUACAUGCCAGGAGUCGCAGGGCUCUGCAUCUGAACACUGACAUCAGCCACCUCCUGAGGGUCUAAAGACCGCGCCAUCACCAUGUUUACAUGACCGAACUGAUCUCCUCCGACAUACUUCAGGCAAACACCGGGAGGCCAGGACUCUGGACCUGGAACACACACAGAGAAUGUGCUGAACUUGGCUUGAAAUGUCUUUGUGAAAGGUGUGUCUGGUGGAACUGAUUCUCCCUCACCAAUCGUCACGUCACUCACAAAGGACAUGCACGGCGCGCUGAUGUUGGGACUCUCAAAGUCAUAGUAGGCUCCGAUGGCUGCUUGUAAAUUCCUGUGACAUUAGAAGACAGAAAUCCAGGUGAUCAGUACAGAUAUAGAUUCUCAAUAUGAGUAUAACAUAUGAUUUGUUUAGAAGAAACUCCAUGAUUUGUCUGCAGUAUGCACAGAUAUGACACAUUUAGUAGCUAGUUUAUUUACGACAUUUUCAGCACGAUAAAAUACGUUUAUUUAAUAAGGAUUACAUUCCAGCAUAUCAAGGGUUUUACUGAUGCGCCCUUUGUUUGUGAAAUGUAGGUCAUAUCUUUUAUUAAUCAACUUUUGGUCUAUAACUGUCAAACAGUGAAAAAUCACAAUUUCCUUAAGCCUAGUGUGAAUUCUUGAUAUAGCUUGCUUUGCCCAAACACCUUAAACGCAAAUGUAUCCACAAGCUACAAUAACAUUAAUCCAAAUCCUCAGAAUAUAUCCAGCACAUGAAGAAGUUUAGUACAUUUCUGCACUGAACAAUACAGCUAUUCAAUCUUUAAAAAAAAGCAUAUAUUGUACAUGUAAUGGUAUGUUUUUAUACAAUUAUUUACAUAUUUUUUUCUGUUCUAUAAAAAUGUAAUUGUCAACAUUAUUUCUAACAUUUAACAAACUAUAUCAAUAAAUGGUUUUAGUCCUAUA